rnacentral:lncRNA from 1 species
UACCGAGUGAACAAAGCUUUCUUUCUUUUUCUUUUUUUUUUUUUAACAUUCUUCCCUGCAGGGAUCUUUAUUCCCUAGUCUGGGAGUUUGAGAAUGGGUGAGAGAAUUUCAGUCUCCUGGUUUCUAAUCUCUGGGCUGACAAGGCUUGCAAUGUGACCUUGAGCAUAUUAUUUAAACUCUCAACAUCGAAUUCACCACUGUUUAUGCUCUCUGCAACCUCGGUGUCAUUAUACUGCAUCUUCUUGAAUCUCUCAUUUUCCUGGACAAGGGCAAUGACGACAGAUCUCAUUGGACACAGAGAAAAGGAGCAAGAUGGAGAGAAUUUUUGUCUGUAUGAGAAACAGGAGGUGUGUAAUGGUGAAGUGCAUCUGAAGUGAAGCAGAUGGAUUCCUCUGCAUGGGUGGAAGAGAAAGGGGGUCUGUAGCUUGGUGUAAGGCUGCAUUUAUGCUGUGCAGAGCAACCGUCUGUAAGGCUGUCAGAGCUGAACGCAGCCAACCUGAAUCAAUCAGCCAUGCCAUAUUACUUCAGACCGAGCGCCCUGCUCUGAUGUUUCUGUGGCUCAAGUUAGUACAUCUAUGUGGCACCAUGGAGUGCUGAGUAUGGCUCAUUCAGAGCGUGUCCCAAGGAUCUCCAUACAGCACUGCAUGCUCUGUUUAUACUUGCAAACUCAUUGCCAAGUGCUUGCAGGGAAAUGCAACUGCUAGCCCAGGUGCUGAAGCAGAUACAUAGGUAAAGC